UUUAAGUGAUAUCUUUGCUGGGUAAAUCUGUCUUGGUUGUAGGUCCUUGCUUUCGAUCACUUUAAAUAUUUCGUGCCAUUCCCUGUGGCCUGCUCAGUUUAAAAACAACCCUUUUCUUUUUUAAUGUCACUUAAAUGAUUCCACAGACUUCAUGGAUGUCAAGUCUGGUGAAGCUAAUUUCAAAAGUUGCUGGUUUUUUAAAUGGUUGAUCAAGGCUUAUAAAAUUGCAGACUGUUUCCUAACUCUGGGAGACAUGGUGGUGCAAUUCUCUAACCAUGAGAGAUUCUGAAAUAGCAAUGACAGUGUCCCAGUUUGCCCAGAAUGCAGCACAUAUCCAAACAAAUUACAAAAGAAUGCAGCUUUCUCUCUCUAGGAAAAGUCUGGCAGGAGCCAGUCCUCGCAGUGUUUCUGCCUCCAGGAAGAAAAGUCUAAGCUUAGCUCUUGGCCUGACUCCCUGAUGGUCAGCGGAGCCCCCUUGGAGUCCUGUGUUCAGACGCAUUAGGCAUUGAUGAUGGACGCAAACUGUUGCUGAAGUGCAUUUGAGCCCAUGGUCUCCUAGCCUCUGGUUUCGGAAACAUUCACCCAGCCAGACAUUUAAUUUUCAGUGAAGCAGGGAAAAGGGGACCUCUCUGGGAUAAAUAACAACUGAAAGAAUUUGUUGCAAACAGAGUUGCACAGCAAGAAAUGCUAAAGGAAGUUUUUCCACCUGAAGUGAAAUGGCAUGAGAUGCUAAUUCAGAUAAAGGAAUAAAACAGACUGCAAAUGGUGACUAGGAUGCCUCCCCUCGGGGGCUCUUCUCUGGGCGUCCAUAUGCAAGCUGCCCCACGUCUGGCCUUGCACCAGAAUUGUACUUCCAGGAACCUGCACCUCCCACUCGACUGACAGUGAUUGCAUCUUACUGCUGCAUCUCCCAGGACUGCAGCUGCCUAGCACAGAGCAGUGCUUGGGAAACAUGUGAAAGAGGAAGGGAGAAAAAGAAACAUCAGUGAAAGAGAGAAGCAUUGACUGGUUGUGCCCUGACCAGGAAUUGAACCUGCAACCUUUAGGUUACAGGAUGACGCUCCAACCAGCCGAACCACACUGGAUGAUUUUAACCACCAAAGAAAGGACCCAGAAUUAGAAGAGCUGAACCACCAUGAUCCAUGCAGGGUGCUUUGAGGAUGCCUAAUGCUGAAAGUACAAGCUCAGCACAUACCCAGGAGCAGGGGGGUUGCCACAUUUUGCAACUAGAAAAGUAAAUGUGUCUUUUUUUAUGCUGGGCCACCUUCAGGGAAGGGGACGAUAUCUCUGAGGCCAGGCUGGAGUGUCAGUUACAGAAAAACGCUUCCCCUCCAGCCUGAGGGCCCGGUCAAGGCUGACUGACCUCUGCACUGAGGCCUGUGGGGGGUCCAAGUGCAGAACUGCAUGGUCGGGCCCAUGGAGAAACCACAAGUCACAGGAAGCUCUCCAGCACCUGAAAUGCAUCUGGUCUGAGCUGAGCUGUGCUGGCAGCACUGGAUAAACACUGGGUUUUGAGGACAGUGUGUAAAGCGUAAAAAGAACAUAAAGUACUUCAAUAGUAUUUGAUAUCCAUUGCAGGUUGACAUGAUAUUUUGGACAUAGGUUAAAUAAAACAUUAAAAUUGGCUUCACUUGUUUCUUUUCACUUUUUAAAAUGUGGCCACUAGAAAAGGUCAUCAGCCCACAUAUGUGACUUGCACCAUAUUUCUAUUGGACAGCACUGCCCUGGACCUGGGGUUGGCAAGAGUUUUCUGUAAAGGUCCCAACAGUGCAACUCUCAGGCUUUGCAGGGCACCUGAUCUCCGGGAUAACUGCUGCCCUCUGCCCCUGCACAUCACAGCAGGCACAGCGAAUAGAUAAUACAGAAUAAAUGAGCGUGACUGUGUUCUGAUAAAACCCUAGGCACAAACUGGAUGGCAAGCAGCCUUGGGCCACGGGCUACGCUUUGCUGACCCUAGUCUCGAUUUAGUGCAGGGUCUGUGUUUAAAUAGUCUCUUCAGAGAACGUGCCUCUGGCCUCAGGAAGCACUGAUGCACGGUGCACUCGAGGUUCUGGUAACACGGCUCUGAGCCCAAGUCCUGAACGAAACCAAGUUCCCUCAUAGCAGUGUGAUGGCCAUGGGGGCUUGACUGGUGACGGGCC